UACCUCCUUUGUCCUCAUGAUUAAAAAACACAAAUCAUAUAAAUCUUUCACCUUUCACUAAAGAUUUCUGUGGGGAGGAACAACUCUGAGUCUUCAUCCAGUUCUUUGAGGCCUUGCAUUUGCAGGGCU
ensembl:snRNA U5 U5 spliceosomal RNA